UACGUAGGUGACAAGCGUUGUCCGGAUUUACUGGGCGUAAAGAGCGCGCAGGCGGUCGUUCAAGUCGAGUGUGAAAGCCCCCGGCUCAACUGGGGAGGGUCACUCGAUACUGAUCGACUCGAAGGCAGGAGAGGGUAGUGGAAUUCCCGGUGUAGUGGUGAAAUGCGUAGAUAUCAGGAGGAACACCGAUGGCGAAGGCAGGUCUCUGGGCUGAAACUGACGCUCAUGCACGAAAGCGUGGGGAGCAAACAGG
rnacentral:rRNA from 1 species